AUGGAUGCAGAGCAAUGGCACCAUCCUAUGGGACUCACAGAAGACCAUCAGGAAGUCAUGAAGAGUCCCUUUCAUAGUGUGGUUACUCAGCUAUGGGAAAAGAGCUGGACACCUCUGUAUUGUUUCGUCAUUCUCCACCAACAUGAAAAUGACUAUGGGAAGACAAAGCUGCCACACAGAAAAGGAUAUCAUUGGCGGUACAACAUCAAACAUUAUAAAGGUGGGGUUUUUUUCAAAGGCAUUUUGGGAGAAAUGAUUCUCUCACCUCAUAUUCCAGCUUUCCACAUAAUAUCCCUGAUUGUUAUUAAAAUAAGUUAUUUUUAGAGCCUGUCUUUUCAUUUUCUGCCAAGGUAAAUCUAUCACUCAUUUAGAAGGUGAUUUUCUUUGCGUGUAGACUGUAAAUUUGAGCCCUUAACUGUGAAAGAUUUGCACUUUCUUGUGGGUGAGCAUUUCAUUCAGUAGUAUUGAUUUUUCAGCCCUAUCCUUCCUGUUCUCUGUGCGUUAGGAACAAAAAAACUGAAAUCCUGAAGAACCACAUUAAAGAUGUCAGAAAAGAUAUAGGGUUGCA
rnacentral:lncRNA from 11 species